rnacentral:tRNA from 1 species
UGUAAUUUUUUAAUAUGGCAGAUUAGUGCCAUGGG